rnacentral:tRNA from 1 species
CGGGGUGUAGCGCAGUUGGCAGCGCGCAUGGUUCGGGACCAUGAGGUCGUGGGUUCAAAUCCCGCCACUCCGACCA